CAAACCUUGAUAACUUUUGAUCCAGAGCUCCGAUUGACAAGCUGUUUGUAGCCACGUGUCGAGCUUGUCGAGCCCUUCAAUUCUAUCCAAACAAAACAGGGUCCACUAGACUUGAUUUCUUAUGGGUAUUGCCCAAGGAUCAGUGGGUAAAGGUAGUGUGUAUGUGAAUGUUGAUGCUUGUUGGAGGCUUGUUGGUGAUCAAGCUUGGUUUGGGGCUGUUUGAUUGAGCUUGGAGGGGCUGUAAUUUUGAGUUGUGAGGCUGCCUUGGGUGAACUAAAUGAUCGGCCAAGAUGCAAGUCGAGAGGCUCCUCAUUAGGCGUCUGGAUCCUGGAAAGCGAAGUAGUCCUUGGGUGUAUUUUGGUUUUCUGUUUGUAUAUAUGCAUAUAUUUAUUUAGCUUACUCUCCAAGUAACUUGUGUAUGCUGCUCCUCUUAGAGGUUGAGGGAGAGAUAGGAGUUUACUUUGGUAUUUUGGUGUGUUUUGGGAAUACUUUGUAUGUUUAUAUGUAUAUAUAUAUCCUCCGGCCAGCCUUAGCUUCGCAGGCUGAGUCAGGGGCUAGUUAU